AGUUUGAUCAGUGGCUCAGGACGAACGCUGGCGGCGUGCUUAACACAUGCAAGUCGAGCGAUGAACCGGAGCUUGCUCCGGGGAUUAGUGGCGAACGGGUGAGUAACACGUGGGCAACCUGCCCCAGACAUCGGGAUAACCAUUCGAAAGGAUGGCUAAUACCGGAUAUGACCACUUCGGGCAUCCGAUGGUGGUGGAAAGGAUUCUGGUCUGGGAUGGGCCCGCGGCCUAUCAGCUAGUUGGUGGGGUAAUGGCCUACCAAGGCGACGACGGGUAGCCGGCCUGAGAGGGCGACCGGCCACACUGGGACUGAGACACGGCCCAGACUCCUACGGGAGGCAGCAGUGGGGAAUAUUGCGCAAUGGGCGAAAGCCUGACGCAGCGACGCCGCGUGAGGGACGAAGGUCUUCGGAUUGUAAACCUCUUUCAGCAGGGACGAAGCGAAAGUGACUGUACCUGCAGAAGAAGCACCGGCUAACUACGUG
rnacentral:rRNA from 1 species